UUUAUCGGAGAGUUUGAUCCUGGCUCAGGACGAACGCUGGCGGCGUGCCUAAUACAUGCAAGUCGAGCGGACUUGAUAGGAGCUUGCUUCUAUUCAAGUUAGCGGCGGACGGGUGAGUAACACGUGGGUAACCUGCCUGUAAGACUGGGAUAACUCCGGGAAACCGGGGCUAAUACCGGAUAAGUUCUUUCUCCGCAUGGAGAAGGAUUGAAAGAUGGUUUCGGCUAUCACUUACAGAUGGACCCGCGGCGCAUUAGCUAGUUGGUGAGGUAAUGGCUCACCAAGGCGACGAUGCGUAGCCGACCUGAGAGGGUGAUCGGCCACACUGGGACUGAGACACGGCCCAGACUCCUACGGGAGGCAGCAGUAGGGAAUCUUCCGCAAUGGACGAAAGUCUGACGGAGCAACGC
rnacentral:rRNA from 1 species